rnacentral:rRNA from 1 species
CUACGUGCCAGCAGCCGCGGUAAUACGUAGGUCCCGAGCGUUGUCCGGAUUUAUUGGGCGUAAAGCGAGCGCAGGCGGUUUGAUAAGUCUGAAGUUAAAGGCUGUGGCUCAACCAUAGUUCGCUUUGGAAACUGUCAAACUUGAGUGCAGAAGGGGAGAGUGGAAUUCCAUGUGUAGCGGUGAAAUGCGUAGAUAUAUGGAGGAACACCGGUGGCGAAAGCGGCUCUCUGGUCUGUAACUGACGCUGAGGCUCGAAAGCGUGGGGAGCGAACAGGAUUAGAUACCCUGGUAGUCCACGCCGUAAACGAUGAGUGCUAGGUGUUGGAUCCUUUCCGGGAUUCAGUGCCGCAGCUAACGCAUUAAGCACUCCGCCUGGGGAGUACGACCGCAAGGUUGAAACUCAAAGGAAUUGACGGGGGCCCGCACAAGCGGUGGAGCAUGUGGUUUAAUUCGAAGCAACGCGAAGAACCUUACCCGGGCUUGAAUUGCAGAGGAAUUAUUUAGAGAUA